UAGGGAAUCUUCGGCAAUGGGGGGAACCCUGACCGAGCAACGCCGCGUGAGGGAAGAAGGUUUUCGGAUCGUAAAGCUCUGUUGUUAAGGAAGAACGAGUGUGAGAAUGUAAAGUUCAUACUGUGACGGUACUUAACCAGAAAGGGACGGCUAACUACGUGCCAGCAGCCGCGGUAAUACGUAGGUCCCGAGCGUUUUCCGGAUUUAUUGGGCGUAAAGCGAGCGGAGGCGGUUAGAUAAGCCUGAAGUUAAAGGCAGUGGCUCAACCAUUGUAGGCUUUGGAAACUGUUUAACUUGAGUGCAGAAGGGGAGAGUGGAAUUCCAUGUGUAGCGGUGAAAUGCGUAGAUCUAUGGAGGAACACCGGUGGUGAAAGCGGCUCUCUGGUCUGUAACUGACGCUGAGGCUCGAAAGCGUGGGGAGCGAACAGG
rnacentral:rRNA from 1 species